rnacentral:lncRNA from 12 species
AUCUCUGGAACAGCUAAGGGGGAGGUGAGGCAGGAUUGGGAAAGACUGUUGGCAAGGAGCCCAGGUAGCAAUCCAGGGUGGGAAUCCCAGUAAGGAGUGACAGACACCCCUAAGACAGUGGGGAGUAAGGGUGGGAUUCCAGAGGGAGCUCAGGUAAAAUCCAUGGGAUCUGGUUCUGCCACAGCGGAGGGAAGAACUGAUUUACAGAAGAGGGAGGUAGAGACAUGAGUUGCAACCCCUGGCAAAUUAUUGAUAGAAUGAAUCAUCCAUAAGAGACAAAGUUCAUUGUGUUCUCAGAACAGAAGAAGCCUGACCCUGGGAAACAUCAGAAGAUACUUGUUGUCAUAACCACACUGUGAAGAACUAAGACCAAGAUAACCACCGACACUCUUGGGGCACCAUCAAAAGGAACAUACCCUAGUUGGUGAAAUGAAGAUGAAACUUUGAAGUCACCCAGACUGGAGUCAAACCCUGUCACUUUGUUUCUGAGUGCCUCCGGGAGCCAGCUCUGAUGAAGAGGAUGCUUGCCUCAUGGGUAACCAGAGCUGUUAUUAUUAAAUGUCUGAAAUGAGAGUCCAAUUCACAGUUCUCCCCUUCUUGAUUCCUUUCAGGGCAUCUCCCACUGUCUGCGUGCCACCUUCCUUGGCUCUAUCGGAUGCAAGCCAGUGUGUCUCCCUCAUCUCCCUCAUUCUAAGCUCUGUAAUGACUUCUUUUGCAUUGUGUAUCACCCACAAAGCUGGUGGAGAGGGCUGGUGGCCAGGCCAGAGAAGGCUCCUCCCCCUUGGACCAGAGAUGGACUGA